AGCCCUUCCUACUCUCAGGGAGCACAAUGUAUUCAUACGGCGCUUGCUGAUGAUGUCAUCAAGCCAGCAUGCAAUUCCCCAGUGUAUUUAAACCCAGCUGCACAGAUCAGCUGUGUACUCAGCACAGGCUGUGACCCUGGGGCAUACACGGACGCUACAUGCACACAAGGUGUUUGCAAGACGAUCUCUGUUAUAUGGGAGAUGCUGUUCCUUUAUUGAUGGAUGGCCUUAUGUUUGCCUCUGUGAGCUGUCUUUUGCCCCAGCUAUAGGUCCCCUAGUGGAUUUUUAAGGGAUUCGGUUACCUGCAUCUCUAUCCCCGACACGUCUUCUUUUGCCUGGGGACUGUAAUGUGUAUUUGAUCAUGUCAUUAUUGACAUAUUUGGCCUGGACCUGCGGUAUGUU